CUCGUAGGCGGUUCAACAAGUCGGUCGUGAAAGCCCGGGGCUCAACCCCGGGACGCCGGUCGAAACUGUUGUGACUUGAGUUCGGUAGAGGUGAGUGGAAUUCUCGGUGUAGCGGUGGAAUGCGCAGAUAUCGAGAGGAACACCCGUAGCGAAGGCGGCUCACUGGGCCGAUACUGACGCUGAGGAGCGAAAGCGUGGGGAGCAAAUA
rnacentral:rRNA from 1 species